rnacentral:rRNA from 1 species
CUUACGGCCAGGGCUACACACGUGCUACAAUGGUCGGUACAAAGGGUUGCUACACAGCGAUGUGAUGCUAAUCUCAAAAAGCCGAUCGUAGUCCGGAUUGGAGUCUGCAACUCGACUCCAUGAAGUCGGAAUCGCUAGUAAUCGCGGAUCAGAAUGCCGCGGUGAAUACGUUCCCGGGCCUUGUACACACCGCCCGUCACACCAUGGGAGUUUGUUGCACCAGAAGUAGCUAGCCUAACUGCAAAGAGGGCGGUUACCACGGUGUGGCCGAUGACUGGGGUGAAGUCGUAACAAGGUAGCCGUAGGGGAACCUGCGGCUGGAUCACCUCCUUAA